AGUGAACGCUGGCGGUAGGCCUAACACAUGCAAGUCGAACGGCAGCACAGUAAGAGCUUGCUCUUACGGGUGGCGAGUGGCGGACGGGUGAGGAAUACAUCGGAAUCUACUUUUUCGUGGGGGAUAACGUAGGGAAACUUACGCUAACACCGCAUACGACCUACGGGUGAAAGCAGUGGAUCUUCGGACCUUGCGCGAUUGAAUGAGCCGAUGUCGGAUUAGCUAGUUGGCGGGGUAAAGGCCCACCAAGGCGACGAUCCGUAGCUGGUCUGAGAGGAUGAUCGGCCACACUGGAACUGAGACACGGUCCAGACUCCUACGGGAGGCAGCAGUGGGGAAUAUUGGACAAUGGGCGCAAGCCUGAUCCAGCCAUACCGCGUGGGUGAAGAAGGCCUUCGGGUUGUAAAGCCCUUUUGUUGGGAAAGAAAAGCAGCAGGUUAAUACCCCGCUGUUCUGACGGUACCCAAAGAAUAAGCACCGGCUAACUUCGUG
rnacentral:rRNA from 1 species